rnacentral:lncRNA from 1 species
GCAGAAUGGUGUUCCUAAAGUAAUUAAAUUACACCAAAUCAUCUACACCAUCUCAACUAACAACUACACAUAAUAAUUUACCAUCACAAAUCAAUAAGCUUUAUAACCAAUUUAAUAAUUCUUCAAUUUUGUUAGCUAUACCAAAUCAGGCACCAAUAAAUGUACCAAAAUAUUUACUGCGAAUUAUGUUGGUAUUCCAAACGGCUGAAGAGACAUAAAUUAGUGGUCUAGACAAUCAUUUUCACCAAAUCAGUUACCAAAAUAUAUACCAUAGUUUCGUUGUAUAAACGUUAAUUUUCUUCAAUUUGUUAUCUAUACCAAGUCAGACAAUAAAAUAUACCAAUAGAUGUACCAAAAUAAUAACUUGCGGUUGAUUUUUCUACAAGGUCUACA